GGUGCAACACAAAAAAACAAAAAAGGAUCCAGUCAAAAUUCCAGUGACUGCUGCACACACGUUCACUGGAAGACAUGCCUUUCAUCAGACGAUGGUGGUGUACUCUGCUGAUGACUAACUUCGCUGUGCAAAUGCCAAGAUGCAAGUUAUCUGAAGGAGAGGAUGGAAGUGAUGAGCCUCCUUAUAAGAAACAGCACCUCCAGGAACAAUCAGAUUGCACACGUAUACACUGAUUUUUUUUUUUUUUUUGUAUUAUUUUGAACAGUGUGAUAGAUUACAACCAAUCCAUUUUCUCAGAUAAGGUGAUGUACAAAUUUGCUUCCUACUCAUGCAGACAAUGUUUUGUUAGGUACACCUAACUAACUGAUUAACAACAGACUGCAUGGGUGUUGCUAUUGAGUAAAUGCUAAACCAGAUACCCACAGAAAAAGAUUUGAGUAUAAGGUGUUCUGCUCUAAUUAUGUUCUACGGUGUAAAGAAAUAAUUCAUAUGGAACCAAGGAAUAGGAUAAUGUGAGUAAUAUAAUGUAUUUAAUAGGUGAUUAAAUAUAUACUAUUGUGUGUACAUGUCACUGGUUAAAUAUGCGCUACACCGCGCUGAACUUAGUUCAGAAUCAGCUUCUUAUCACUGGUAACGCCGCGGCUUUCCUCUCACUCAUUCCCGCAGUGGAGUAAAAUAAUGUAUUCAAUGCUUUGAUUAGAUCAGAGCUUAUGUGGCAUAGUCAGUGCUGAUUGCUUUUUAUUUGCCUGACAGCUGCAGUCCUGACUAGAUAUCUUCAUGUUGUGAUUGAGAGGUGUUUUACUGUUCACAAAAAUGUUAUCACACAAAUGUAUAUACAGGUGGAAGAGAACCUGAGGACUCACAGGAGAAUGCAACAAUCCUGCAGGUUUCUAUUAAAUAUUUUAAAUAUUUCAUAUUUUUAGAGGAUGGACAACUUGCAGGAUAAUGGUCAUUAAUGUGUUGUUGAACAACUCAAACAGAGUGAAAGGAAGAUGAUUACAUAUGCAGAGAAACAGAAGGACAAAAAAGUGUAAUUUAUAGAACUCAUUCUGUUGUCUGUGUGUCCGUCUCCCGGUCUCCCAUAGAUCCCAAAUAAAAAUUUUACAAAGGAUCCUCCUGGAGGUGGUUCUGAGUCAGGGGGAUGUAUGUAUGCCGUAGAUUCAGGGCGAUUGUUGGUCAUCCAGGAUUUAAACAGUUGGCGUGACGUGACAGGUGUUGUCAACUGGAACAAGUUUUCAGAAGAGGAAUCCAGGGUGAAUUACACCAUCUCUGAGUGCUUCACCUGCAAGACCCUUUUCAAGUCAUGUCCACCCGGCUACAAAGGAGGAGGCAAACGAGGAGUGUCGGAGGGGUUUUAUUCCACUGUGGACUGGCCAGAUUUUUGUUCCCAGGACUGUUUUUGUGUGUCAGGGGGACUGUCCCAGCCAAACUUCAGUUCACACGCAGAUGCUGUCUUGAUGUUUAGUUGAUGUUUAUUUAAGCAAAGCACAACAUAUGAAAGUAUCAAAAAACUCUAAUAAAUAAACAAAUUAAUUACAGCUUGCGGUGGAAAAACUGUUUGCUCUUCUGACUGGGCACUAGCUAGGUCUACCUCAUUCCCUUACAAGGACCCGAUAACCCUGAAAACUUGGAUGCAGUGACCGGUAUGCAACACAUGAGGGAGACAUUUAGUGGGUUAGGAACAUAAGUGACCUAGGUAUAGAAUUGCUAUGGAUAAAAAUGGCUCCAACAGGGACAGUUGUAGCUUCUUUAACCAGUGUGCUGUGAGGUAUUGUACGGUGUGCUGUGGAACAUUAUCAAUACAUUUAUUUUCUUUUGUGUCAAUGUGUUAAGGUUUUAGUGAUCUACAGUAUAUAUGUGAGCAUAUUUUGGCAAUUAAAUAAAUAUUUUUGCUGAGAAGUAUGUUGGUGUAAUAUGCUUAUUUGUUAUUUUAGUAUUUUGAGAU